CAUUAAAGUGGCACGCGAGCUGGGUUCAGAACGUCGUGAGACAGUUCGGUCCCUAUCUGUUGUGGGCGUUGGAAAUUUGAGAGGACCUGACUCUAGUACGAGAGGACCGAGUUGGACAAACCGCUGGUGCAUCUGUUGUGCUGCAUAAGUGCAUUGCAGAGUAGCUAUGUUUGGAAGAGAUAAGCGCUGAAAGCAUCUAAGCGCGAAGCUCACCUCAAGAUGAGAUUUCCUUUAAGGGUCGUUAAAGACGAUGACGUUGAUAGGCUGCAAGUGUAAAGGUAGUGAUGCCAAAGCUGAGCAGUACUAAUUACCCGUAAACUUUCAUCA
rnacentral:rRNA from 1 species